GUGGGGAAUUUUGGACAAUGGGCGCAAGCCUGAUCCAGCAAUGCCGCGUGCAGGAUGAAGGCCUUCGGGUUGUAAACUGCUUUUGUACGGAACGAAAAGCCCUGGGUUAAUACCCUGGGGUCAUGACGGUACCGUAAGAAUAAGCACCGGCUAACUACGUGCCAGCAGUCGCGGUAAUACGUAGGGUGCGAGCGUUAAUCGGAAUUACUGGGCGUAAAGCGUGCGCAGGCGGUUUUGUAAGACAGAGGUGAAAUCCCCGGGCUCAACCUGGGAACUGCCUUUGUGACUGCAAGGCUAGAGUACGGCAGAGGGGGAUGGAAUUCCGCGUGUAGCAGUGAAAUGCGUAGAUAUGCGGAGGAACACCGAUGGCGAAGGCAAUCCCCUGGGCCUGUACUGACGCUCAUGCACGAAAGCGUGGGGAGCAAACAGGAUUAGAUACCCCUGUAGUCC
rnacentral:rRNA from 1 species